rnacentral:tRNA from 1 species
GCCUGAGUGGCUCAGUUGGUUGAGCAUUCGACUUCAGCUCAAGUCAUGAGCUCAUGGUUCAUGGGUUCGAGCCCCAUGUCGGGCU